rnacentral:rRNA from 1 species
UACGAAGGGUGCAAACGUUGCUCGGAAUUAUUGGGCGUAAAGCGCACGUAGGCGGCAUUGCAAGUCGGAUGUGAAAUCUUAUGGCUUAACCAUAAAAGUGCAUCCGAAACUGCAGUGCUUGAGUACUUAAGAGGAUCGCGGAAUUCCCGGUGUAGAGGUGAAAUUCGUAGAGAUCGGCAGGAACACCCAGGGGGAAACCAGUCGACUGGGCAUCUACUGACGCUGAGGUGCGAGAGCGUGGGGAGCGAACCGG